rnacentral:rRNA from 1 species
GCCUAGCGACAGGCCUAACACAUGCAAGCGAGGGGCAGCACAAGGAGCAAUCUGAGGUGGCGACCGGCGCACGGGUGAGUAACACGUAUGCAACCUGCCUGUAAGCGGGAAUAACCCGUGAAGACGGACUAAUACCGCAUAAUACUAAACUUACUGCAUGGGUAAAUUUUAUUUAAACAUUUUAUGGCUUACAGAUGGGCAUGCGCAUGAUUAGCUAGGUUGGAGAGGUAACGGCUCCCCAAGGCAACGAUCAUUAGGGGUUCUGAGAGGAAGGUCCCCCACACUGGUACUGAGACACGGACCAGACUCCUACGGGAGGCAGCAGUGAGGAAUAUUGGUCAAUGGACGAGAGUCUGAACCAGCCAAGUCGCGUGCAGGAAGAAUGUCCUAAUGGAUUGUAAACUGCUUUUGCAGGGGAAUAAAGUGCAGUCACGUGUGAUGUUUUGUAUGUACUCUGCGAAUAAGGAUCGGCUAACUCCGUGCCAGCAGCUGC